rnacentral:rRNA from 1 species
CCUACUUUUAGUUGCCAACAGGUUAAGCUGGGGACUCUAAAAGGACUGCCCGCGCAAGCGGAGAGGAAGGAGGGGACGACGUCAAGUCAUCAUGGCCCUUACGCCCGGGGCUACACACGUGCUACAAUGGCGCCCACAAAGUGUUGCCAGGCAGCGAUGCCGAGCCAAUCACAAAAAGGGCGUCUCAGUUCGGAUCGCAGGCUGCAACUCGCCUGCGUGAAGUUGGAAUCGCUAGUAAUCGCAGAUCAGCAAUGCUGCGGUGAAUA